GUUCCUGUAGCGUAAUAUAUAGUGCGUUGGACUUCUAAUCCAAAAGGUCAUGGGUUCGAAUCCCACCUGGGAUG
rnacentral:tRNA from 1 species